rnacentral:rRNA from 1 species
GAUGAACGCUAGCGAUAGGCCUAACACAUGCAAGUCGAGGGGCAUCACAUGAAGUAGCAAUACGGAUGGUGGCGACCGGCGCACGGGUGAGUAACACGUAUGCAACCUGCCUUCAACAAGGGCAUAACCCCGUUGAAAGACGGACUAAUACCCUAUAACACAGGGGUCCCGCAUGGGAAUAUUUGUUAAAGGACAACCGGUUGAAGAUGGGCAUGCGUUCCAUUAGCUAGUUGGCGGGGUAACGGCCCACCAAGGCAACGAUGGAUAGGGGAACUGAGAGGUUUAUCCCCCACACUGGUACUGAGACACGGACCAGACUCCUACGGGAGGCAGCAGUGAGGAAUAUUGGUCAAUGGACGCAAGUCUGAACCAGCCACGUCGCGUGAAGGAAGACGGCCCUACGGGUUGUAAACUUCUUUUAUACGGGAAUAAAGUGCCCCACGCGUGGGGUUUUGCAUGUACCGUAUGAAUAAGGAUCGGCUAACUCCGUG